CACAGUUAUGCAAAAAUUUUGGGACUCAGCAUUUUCUCUAGAGCCGCCUGAAGAUUUUGACACCCAUAGGUAGGUACCUUGUUAAAUGUAUUCUGUUUUCUAUGUGUUUGUUGAGCUGUUUUUUUGGUCGCACAAAAACACAUGAAACAAAAACACAUGAAAUCUUAGUCCCUACUAAUGAAAAUAUCUUAGUCCCUACUAAUGAAAAUAUAGGACUGACCAGAAAAUCAAUCGAAGGACUUGACAAAAAUUAAGUUUAGGAUGUAGAGUUUAGUCUGAUUUUAUUUAUUAACUAACAAAUUAAUGCAAGGUGGGGACAUUUAAAAGAAUGAAACUAAAAAGGAAAAAUCUAAACUAAAUCUCUUUGAAGAAAGAAAGAAAAUAAAGUAAAAGAAAAGAAAAAGAAAUAGAAAUCUAACUAAUAGGAAAUGAACCUAAAAUGUACAACGAGAUGUGAUAUGAAACCGAACAAAACAGUUAGAAAUAGACAAAAACAGAACCUAUUUAAUAUCUCUACAAAGUAAAAUUCAUUACUCAAAAAAUACAAAUUCAAAUGAAAAGCCAAUAUGAAAUCAAUAGCCGAACUAAUUCAAAGCAUAUUCAACAAACAUAAAAGCUAAGAAACCUAAAUGCUAAAUGAUCAUGAACCUAUAUGAAAUACUAAAAUGAAAUAAUGGGUCUAACCUGGAAAGUGAAAGAAUAAUGCAGUGAAAUAAAAGCUUAAAGUGAAAUGAACCAUGAGUAAAGUACCCAAAAUCUAAAAAAGAUUAAAACUAAAAUCCAAUCUUUAGAACUCUCAAACAGAAAUGAUCAAUUCUAAAACAUUUGGCAAAGGAAGAAAUUUUUAUGGAUGAAGAAUCACUCAAUCAGAAUCUAAAAUUUGGAAAUAAAAGAAAUUCAACUAAAACUAAAAUCAUUCUAACAGAAACACCUACAAAUAUUACUCAAACAAUGAAUCAUUGAUUAAACUCACGAAUUAGAAUCAAAAUUGCAGAGAUUAGUGCACAAAAGUGUUCAUUUACAACUCAGGAAGACGUCCUGUAAAUUUAUAACCACUGUGGGGUUUUUAAGUCCCAAUUUAGAACUUAAAAUGUGUAAAAUUCUAUUCAAUGCACCAAACCGCAGCAAGUUCAACUCUGGUUCAAGUUUGUAACCAAUAUCAGAAGCACAUUCCUAUCCUAAAUGCAAUUAAAAGUUACACCUAAUCUUUAAUGCACCUUUAAAUUCCUAAUAAAAACAAUUGGCAGAAGCAAAUCAUCAUUCUCUACUUGAAUUUCCACAAACAAUCUGGAAUCCAAAAGAACUAACUAAGCUACUUGCAAUCAAUUAAAAAAACCUAAUUAAAAAUUACCUAAACAGAAUUGCCAUCACAUGAACUCAAAAAAUAUACCUAAAAUUGGGUAAAACUUAAUACUGAAACAUAAAAGCAACAUAUGCAUGAAAAAUAGAAUAAACAAUUAGAAUCUAAACGCUGAAACAUAACAAUACCAAAUCAGAAACUGUAAAAUGCACCAAUCAAUUGUCCAGAGGCAUCAGAAUUCAACACAAGCUUCAACUAUCACUAUCAAAGCAAAUAACAACCUAAAGUUACAACUAAAUCAAUAGAAAGCAUGAAAACUGCCUUAACUACAAGGUAAAACCACAAUAGCAAUAAAAAAAUAGAACCAUGGCAACGGAACUGAAAUUUAUUAAAAGGAAAAUGGAAAUUAAACCAAUAGAAUGAAACCGAGACAACCACCCUACGAAGAACGCGUAAAAACCCUAGGAAAACCAAAUCUCUCGAACACACACCUGUACAAAGUCGGUCGUGUCUCUCGUCCAAAAACCCCCUACGCUACGUAUUGUCUAUUUACAUACCCCUUUAUAUAGGGGUCUGAAUCAGAGAAAAAGAAAAUAAAGGAAAAGAACCUUCUUCGCUUUUUCUUCUCAUCCGAUAGUGUCUCUUCUUCACUUUGCUUCCAGCUCCUCUCUGGACCCUUCGAUCAACUCCACCUCACCGCCGAUUAGAGCUUCCCAGAUCUAUUCAUCUUCGUUCUCCUCUGGGCAGCGACACACG
rnacentral:lncRNA from 1 species